UGGGGAAUAUUGCACAAUGGGCGAAAGCCUGAUGCAGCAACGCCGCGUGAGUGAUGAAGGUCUUCGGAUUGUAAAGCUCUGUCUUUUGGGACGAUAAUGACGGUACCAAAGGAGGAAGCCACGGCUAACUACGUGCCAGCAGCCGCGGUAAUACGUAGGUGGCGAGCGUUGUCCGGAUUUACUGGGCGUAAAGGGUGCGUAGGCGGAUGUUUAAGUGAGAUGUGAAAUACCCGGGCUUAACUUGGGUGCUGCAUUUCAAACUGGAUAUCUAGAGUGCAGGAGAGGAGAAUGGAAUUCCUAGUGUAGCGGUGAAAUGCGUAGAGAUUAGGAAGAACACCAGUGGCGAAGGCGAUUCUCUGGACUGUAACUGACGCUGAGGCACGAAAGCGUGGGUAGCAAACAGGAUUAGAUACCCUGGUAGUCCACGCCGUAAAACGAUGAGUACUGGGUGUAGGAGGUAUCGACCCCUUCUGUGCCGCAGUAAAACACAUUAAGUACU
rnacentral:rRNA from 1 species